GAUCAUCUUCAGGGCCUUAUGUUGUCUGCAUUUCAGCAAAGAUCUUUUUUGCUGAAAUGCAGACAACAUAAGGCCCUGAAGAUGAUCU
rnacentral:misc_RNA from 13 species